GUGCUCACUUGGGCUGCACAUAUAAUAAAACUGGACCAGUACAGAGAAGAGGAACAUGGCCACUGCGCAAGAAUGACACGCACAUUCGUGAAGCGCUCCAUAUUUCA
ensembl:snRNA U6 U6 spliceosomal RNA